AUGAAUAGAAAGAUAAAUAAGAAAGCUGAAAAGCAUUGACUUUCUGCAAAUGAUGUAAUGUGUGUUACCAAUCAUAACAAAAAAAACCUUUGCAAUCUGAUGUGAGAGAAAAGAAGGCUUUCUGAAAAAAACAUUGACUUCAUGCCCUUUUCUGAUAUUUUUGCUUCUCCAGUGUUACAGUUCUCCAUCUGAUUCCUGACUUUCAAGGACAAUCCUUUGUUUAAUGGGCUGUUCAAUAUUAAAAUGAUUAAAUCCUUGACAAUAUACCUUGGACAUCGAAUUUCCAAUAAUCAGCUGCAGACAAUUUCUCAAUGACCCUCCAGUUGUGCCACCUAAUUUGCUAGUUCUUCUUAUGUCAACAUUAUUAUGGAUCAAGGACACGGGUAGUUGAGCAUGGGAUCUGGCAGCUUCUGCAGGCUACAAUACUGUAUGUUCACAGGUAUGCCAGGCUUACAGAGAAAGCGACGAUCUGCCUGAAGGAGACUAUCCCGCUGCCAAGCAAGGGGACUUUGUCCUGAUAAAGGACUGGGAGCGAAAGAAGUUGGGACCAAGAUGGAAAGGACUGUUCCAAGUGCUGCUAACCACUCCCACAGUUGUGAAAGUACAAGGCCAUCCUCUGUGGAUACACAAAACCAACUGCAAUAGAGUCAGCAUGGAAACAGACAACAACUAAGGACAAGGAUAUUUUCCAAACUUGUGACCUUGGUGACUUUGGGAGAGGGGGGCUUGACAAUAGAUGGAUCCCAAAUUGACCGUCCGCAAUAUCAUACCUUUUUGCACCUAGCCUAUCAGACAGCCUGCAUAACGGAGAGAGACAACCACUGCUGGGUGUGUGCCCACAUGCUCUUUCACUCGGUGGGAGGGAUCCCUUUGUGGCCUGUUUGCUGGCACAAACUGGCCGAAAGGCUUCAACGCAGGAGCCAUUCUGCUAACCUUGCUAACAUUUAUGCUGCACAAGAGUGGCAGUCAGCAGGGUAUAACCUGACCUCAUUCAGAGGCUGGUAUCACCCUAAUUACAACCAAUCACCAUAGGACCCCCACCUCCCUUGUAGUUCUCAACAACACCAUCGACUACACCAUUCAUUUCAGGUGGGAAGGGAAGCCCACCAAAUACAUUUAUGUGGGGAUGAGUGAAUGCUCAUCUACCACCUCCUGGGUUGAACCUAUUCGGAACUUGACAGAAUAUGGGUACUUUAUGUUUGAUUGGUCCAGCAUCCCCAACAGAACCUUAGGCCAACUCUGAAUAAUCCUGCUCCCAUUGAGGGGGGGGAGGCUGUUUCUGGCACAUACUUCAUUUGCAGAUUAAAAGCCUACCCCUGGCUUCCCUCCGAUUGGGAGGGGUCAUGCUACAUGGGGUAUAUUGUACCUCGUGUUCGAGUUUUGGGCAACCUGCCCUCAUCCCUGUGAUCCAGAAGAUCCCUCACCAGAUUCCUCAUCUGGGUGGGAAUGUCCCUCCUCAAAUGAUCAAAAGGAGGGAUUGAAAAUGUUAAAAUGCCACAGAGGGGUCAGUUCCUUGCUUUGUUUCUCUUUCAGAACACAUUGGGGACUCAAGGGUUAAAUGUUUCACUGCCAAAGGACUUACUGCCGUAUCAACUGAAGGCCUGUACUCUGACAGAACAUCUAAGUAGGGGGGAGGCUGACUGUAUCUCAGAAAUAGAGCCUAGUGGAGCCACAUAUGUGGAUUCUCCUGUAGCCCCAGCCCCACAUAGAGAUGUUUGCCCUUUCCAGACAAGACUGAUAGCCUUGACCACAGCCCUGUUAAAAUGCCUCCUGCUCCCACUGUCUUACUUCCCCUCCAUAACAUAGGUAUGUAAAUCUCCCACUUACAGGAGCAAAUCCCUUCUACCUUAAUCUCUUCCCAUCAGCACAUUAAUCAUGAAGAAUGCAAUAAUCAGUUUCUGUAAUCCAUUCACAUGUUAUCACAGGGCACCCACAUUUAUUUAUCGGGCUUUGUAAAUUCAUAAUUACCUACUUUAAACUGUGGUGACAAUCGCCUAUGUGACUGAUAAACCUUUUGUUUAAUUCCUAUAAAAUGUACUGUCUCUGUGUGUGAGGCAGAGAUUUGUGAAGAAGUGUCACUACAAGUAGACACAUGGCUACUUUGGAGACACUUUAAAUCUCUCACCGGCUGCCCAAUAAUAAAACUACUGCUGUUGUACAGAAAACUUGUAUUGUCUGGAUUUCUGGAACAAAGCAGACAUCAACAGGCAUGGAUAAUUUGAAUCGAAGAGUCUGUUUCCCAUGUUCUACAGCUCUGUGACUCUAUCGAUAGCUCCACACACAAAAGAAUAUUACCUUCAAAAAAAUGUCAUUAAAAGAAGAAAAUGGUAAUUGUCAGGAUAAGUCACACAUUAACCCAUUUGAGACAGAAUUACACAAUAGCCUCAAGCCACUUCAAGUAUUCACUCACUUCAGAAGUACUCCUCCCCAUUAUUUCACAACGUAGGCAGUCCAAAUGAGAUCAAAUCUUCUUCUCAGUUAAUCGGCUACAUUGUACUCCAAAGAACCAAUGGUGCACUGUCCAACCUUGAAUGAAAUGUUUAAUAUUGGACGUUUUAUAUUUUGUGGAAUCCAUAACAAACCCCCACAAACAACACAUACAAAAAUCCAACUGGGUGGGGGGGGUGAAGUGUGAUUAUUAAUCAGAAUACAUAGCAAGAUCUCCUUCCCUAAUAACUACCUUUAGUUCUGACUUAUUGUGUGUGAUUUCAAAUGUUUUGGUAUUUAAUCAGCAGAAGGUGUAUUUUUGAUAUAUCUUACACUUGAGCAAUUAAUUAGUGUGACAAGCAUUGAAUCAAAAGCAGUACAGCAAAGAACAUUUAUGUUCCUUUAAAUAGCUGUGGAAUCUCUUUUAUCAUGUAUUUUGAGGGCACACUAUGGGUGGAAUUUUCUCAGCCAGUGAAUGAAUUGGGCACUGGAAAAAUACAGUGAGAAUGGUAAAA